UAACCUCUGCAGGCUCUCUGGUCCCCAGGCUGGGCUGGGCGAGUAUCUCUUCAAAAGGCUCACCCUCAAGCACAACUAGGAGC
rnacentral:pre_miRNA from 1 species